rnacentral:rRNA from 1 species
AGCUCCAAUAGCGUAUAUUAAAGUUGCUGCAGUUAAAAAGCUCGUAGUUGCAUUUCCGAGGCAAGGGAUUAGUCCGACCUUUGGUGGGUAUUUAAUCCUCUUGCCUCGUCCUUGAGUGGUGCUUCUUGGUAUUAAGUUAUCGAGGAGAUAGCCGCUCAUCGUUUACUGUGAGAAAAUUAGAGUGUUCAAAGCAGGCUUAUGCCGUUGAAUAUAUUAGCAUGGAAUAAUAAGAUAGGACCUCGGUACUAUUUUGUUGGUUUGAGAACCAAGGUAAUGAUGAAUAGGGACAGUUGGGGGUAUUCGUAUUCAGUUGUCAGAGGUGAAAUUCUUAGAUUUACGGAAGACGAACGACUGCGAAAGCAUUUACCAAGGAUGUUUGCA